AUACCCUAUUAUUUUUAACGUAAAAUAUUUAAGCUAGAGUAUUAAUAGUUAUGGUCUUUAAACUUAAAGAAUUUGGCGGUAUUAUAGUCUAUUUAGAGGAAUCUGUUAUGUAAUCGAUAAUCCACGUUGAAACUUAUUCAUAUUAUUUCUUGUAUAUCGCUGUUUUUUGAAGAUACUUUUAGGUUAAUCUUCUUAAUAUUUAAUUAAAUAGAAUUUCAAGUCAAGGUGCAGUUAUAUUUGAAGCUAUUAAUGGAUUACAAUAAAAUUUAUUUAAAUGGAUUUAUUAUAGUAUUAUAAUCAUGAAGGUGGAUUUAAUUGUAAUUAAAUGAAGAUUGUUUUUUUGAUUUUUUUUAGCUCUAUAAUAUGUACACAUCGCCC
rnacentral:rRNA from 1 species